rnacentral:rRNA from 1 species
UGAGUAACGCGUGGGUAACCUGCCCUUAAGUCUGGGAUACCAUUUGGAAACAGAUGCUAAUACCGGAUAAAAGCUACUUUCGCAUGAAAGAAGUUUAAAAGGCGGCGUAAGCUGUCGCUAAAGGAUGGACCUGCGAUGCAUUAGCUAGUUGGUAAGGUAACGGCUUACCAAGGCGAUGAUGCAUAGCCGAGUUGAGAGACUGAUACGGCCACAUUGGGACUGAGACACGGCCCAAACUCCUACGGGAGGCAGCAGCU